rnacentral:rRNA from 1 species
AUGUCCGGUUCCGACCUUCGAGGCCGAUGGAUGCCCUCAUCCGUCAUGGAGGAGGACGUGCUGAAGUUGAGAGAGGCCAGGUUCUUGACCGGCGAAAUCUCGCAUAGGCUGCCUGCUCAAGGGCAGGUCAUUCCCACUCCCAAGCCCGGUGAGAGUGUGGUGUUCAUGGCUCACUUCCUUCAGAGGCUAGGCUUCCCGACGGAUCCCUUCGUGAGGGGGCUCAUGUAUUAUUAUGGGCUGGAAUUUCAUGACUUAGCCCCGGAGUCCAUCCUCCAUAUUUCCUCAUUCAUCAUCAUGUGUGAAGCCUUCCUCCGUAUCACUCCUCAUUUCGGACUAUGGCUCAAGACCUUCAAAGUAGAGCCGAAGAUGAUCGAGGGACGGCAAGCGGAGUGCGGAGGUGUUUUUAUAAGCAAGAAUGCUGGUACUCCAUGGCCCAAGGGCUCUUUUUAA